UCAUCUGCCACGUCACUUCUCUCCAAAAAUUUAAAAAAAAAAAAAAAAAAAAAAUUCCUUACGAUAACAAAUUUCAAAUUUCAUUUUCCCUCGAAUUCGAACUGUAAAGUUUUUUCCAGAUUUCCUUUCAAUUUUUAGAACCCUAGCCACCACAUUCCCCAAUCGCAGGCGAAACGCAGCCGCAACCACAGCCGCACCAGGUCGACCUCUACACCAGCUCCGUUGGGGAUUCAUCUGUCAGGUCUACAGAAUUUCGACUGCCUUGAUCGUGUUGACCACUCUGGUUUCCUCCAUCACCUUUUCUACUCUUCCAUCAACGACCUCCUGAGGGCCAAUUCCGGCCUUCUCCCUUUCAUCCGAGGGAGUAACUCACAGCUUGCUUAUUGGUAAUGAAAUCGAACGCUAAGUCAUGAAAUUUCACUAUUGAAUUCGAAAAACGAAAUUUCUAGACUAAUUUCCAGUUCCUUGCUUGAAUUGUAUGCAGGGGUGAACCAAGUUUCCAUUUGUUUGGAUCUAUAAUGUGCAUUGGCAACAGCUGCCAGGGCACUUAAAUCAGUGCUACAAGGGAUUUUACUUUCUUCUGAAGGGUACUAGGAUAUGCAAAGAGGGCAAGGGCUGUGGUGGUGUCAAUUUUGAUAUUUAGAAAUCCCCUCUCCGUGACCGGAGUGUUUGGUUACACAUUGACAGUAUUUGGAGUGAUCCUUUAUAGUGAAGCAAAGAAAUGAAGGAAAACAAUAUAUGCAAUCUGUUAUAAAUUUGUUCCUAUAGUGCCAGGAGAGAGGCACCCUUCCUGGAAGGCAAAGUUUUGGGUGCGUGGUAGCAGCUGGUGGUGGUGUUGGAUUUUGCCCUUAAAUUCUAUUUUUUUUUCCCUGGAAGCCUGAGACUUGGUUUCCAUUUUGUAUCAGCAACAAGCGCUGGAUUCAACAAAAGUAGAAAAUUCCAAUAAAAAAGUGACCGAUUUAUCUCUAUUAUGCCCGGCUUGGGUUGUAGAGAAAUAUUGUUUAACCUUCUUUAUUCU